AUAGGGGCCGGUCAUAAGAUAACCCGCUCCCACGAAACAAACGGAAAAAAAUAAUCAAAAAGAAGCGGCGCGCGGAGCGUGGGAUACUUGCAGGCCUCUCGCUGACAGCAGCACAUGCAAACCUUCUCCCUCAUCCUUAUCUCUUCGGUCUUCUCCCCACGGGGUGCCCGGCGGCGGCACGCAGGCGGAGCGCGGCGCGUUUUUCGGGUGAUUUUCGGAUGCUUUUCCGUUCGUGAUGGUUACUCGAUCGUUUGGAAGUCUUUUUCAUGGAUCUGUGAGAUCCUGCAGUCGUGCAUCUACGGUUUGAAUCUCGUUCGAAUCCGUUGAGUAUUAAGGGAGUAAUUUUGAUUUGAAGAUUUGGAUUUGGCUCUUGUUCUCCCCUCUUUUCCUCUCUGUUCUUGCGGCAGCAGGAGCGCUUGCGUGAGGGAGCGCGCAACAUGAGGAGGAGCUCGCCUAGGCGGCGCGUGGCCAGCAGCGCGUGGCAAGCCCAGCGGCCGCGCACAGGCGGAGCGCGGUGAUGUGCUCGCCGCAGAGGCGCCGCAGCUGCUACGGGUGCAUGGGGCUGGCCCGGACGAGGGCCGGCGUGACCAAUUUUUUUUUUUAAAUCGGUUAGUAGGAGCGGGUGACGGGGUGACCCACCUCUGGAAAUCCAAAUCCAUACCUCUGGAAGUCCAAAUCCAUUUUUAGGAACGGAUGUGUUACCCGCCGCUGCAAACAACGUUUUUAUGUGCGAGAAGCAGGGGCGGAUACCACCUCCGCCCGUAUAAAUACAUUUUUACCCGCCCCUUGUACCAGUGAGAGCCACUGAUCUGUGUUCAGGAGCUGGCGAAGCCAGCAGCAUGCAGUUGAGCCUCACUGAAUGUCUGUAACACUUGUAGAAAAACAAAAACCCCGGGAAUUUAGCAUUGCUGUGGUUAUAUUUUGGAGAUGAUUUGCCAUUUUUGAGGUCUCUUAAGCAGAUGUGGUAACCUCGUAUGGCAUGUGCUGGAGGUAGAGCUUAAAGUGUCUGAAUUUCAUGUACCUCAGAUAGAUAGAUCAUUUGCGAUGGUUGCUCCAUUCCUUGGUGCCUCUUCUUUUUCUGGCUCUGCAUCGAGAUGAUAUAUAUAUACAGUUCUCUUUC